AGGAUUAACGCUGGCGGCGUGCAUGAAACAUGCAAGUCGAGCGCGGUGUGAUGAGGGGUAACCCAAUUCACAUCUAGCGGCGAACGGGUGAGUAACACGUGAGCAACCUACCUUUGAGUUGGGGAUAGCCCUGGGAAACCAGGAUUAAUACCCGAUGUGGUCACAACAGGACAUCCUGAUGUGAGUAAAGGCGUAAGCCGCUCAAUGACGGGCUCGCGGCCUAUUAGCUUGUUGGUGGGGUAACGGCCUACCAAGGCGAUGAUGGGUAGCUGGUCUGAGAGGACGAUCAGCCACACUGGGACUGAGACACGGCCCAGACUCCUACGGGAGGCAGCAGUUAGGAAUUUUCCGCAAUGGGCGAAAGCCUGACGGAGCAACGCCGCGUGAGUGAUGAAGACCUUCGGGUUGUAAGCUCUGUCGGAGGGGAAGAACACAAUGACGGUACCCUCCAAGAAAGCCCCGGCUAACUACGCGCCAGCAGCCGCGGUAA
rnacentral:rRNA from 1 species